rnacentral:rRNA from 1 species
UGCAAGUCGAGCGAAUUUCAGGGAGCUUGCUCUCUGGAAUUAGCGGCGGACGGGUGAGUAACACGUGGGCAACCUGCCUGUAAGACUGGGAUAACUUCGGGAAACCGGAGCUAAUACCGGAUACAGUUCUUUUCUCGCAUGAGGGAAGAUGGAAAGACGGUUUCUGCUGUCACUUACAGAUGGGCCCGCCGCGCAUUAACUAGUUGGUGGGGUAAUGGCUCACCAAGGCCACCAUGCCUAGCCCACCUGAGAGGGUGAUCGGCCACACUGGGACUGAAACACGGCCCAAACUCCUACCGGAGGCA